rnacentral:rRNA from 1 species
GUAGGUGGCAAGCGUUGUCCGGAAUUAUUGGGCGUAAAGCGCGCGCAGGCGGUUCUUUAAGUCUGAUGUGAAAGCCCACGGGCUCAACCGUGGAGGGUCAUUGGAAACUGAAGAACUUGAGUACAGAAGAGGAAAGCGGAAUUCCACGUGUAGCGGUGAAAUGCGUAGAGAUGUGGAGGAACACCAGUGGCGAAGGCGGCUUUCUGGUCUGUAACUGACGCUGAGGCGCGAAAGCGUGGGGAGCAAACAGGAUUAGAUACCCUGGUAGUCCACGCCGUAAACGAUGAGUGCUAAGUGUUAGGGGGUUUCCGCCCCUUAGUGCUGCAGCUAACGCAUUAAGCACUCCGCCUGGGGAGUACGGCCGCAAGGCUG